rnacentral:lncRNA from 1 species
CGCAUGUUACUCUUGCCAAGGAUUUACUUAACACAAUCGUGACUAGCGACUUUUACUACUUAUGAAUAUAAAUUAAUAACGAUUAGGUGAAAUUCCCUUGUACUCUAGCAUCAAAUUCAUGCAUGCGAACUAAGUAUGCAUCCUUAAUUAACACACAAGAACAAGUUAUCAAUCAAAUAGAUAAGUAAACCACAUUCACGAUUCAUGAAAUCAUAACUGGAGGUAAUCAAGUCAUAUAAAACAUAUGAUCAUGGCUUUGAAUUCCCCUCUAACUAUAAAGAAAUUAGUUCCUCAUGUUCGCAAAUAAACAAAGAUAAAUAAAUUUAAUCAUUGAAACAAAGAUAGAAAACACCUAGAAUCGCUCCACGAUCCAAGCUCCUUGAAUGGCAUGCACGGCUCCAAGAGUUCUUCCUUCUUCUCCUUGCAAACUCACGACACAAUGAGGUAUGUUUGAGUGAAUGGUGUAGUGAAAAUAUGGUAGAGGAUGGUGAGUGAUAUGUGCGGCAAGGGCUUGUAUUUAUAGGCUGAAAAUCCCCACUCCUAUGUAGCCAAGGACAAGGUUUUAAAGGCCUAAUCUGCAUAGGAUAAUAACAUACAAUCCUAUAAGGAAAACAAGUCAAAAACCCAAAAGGAAUGGGAGAUAAUGUGCGGCACAAAGAGUGUGAAAAGAUAAGGCUUCUAGAAACCAAAAUCCCAAGGGAAAUAGGUAAAGGGUGCGGCACAAAGCUAGGGUUCUAGAAAGAAAUACAAGGCAGAUUUUUAGGCUUCUAGAAAGGUUUCCUAGGCGCCACCUUUGUAGGAUCAUAUUAGGUCUUCUAGAAAUCCCAUUUUAAGCAUCCUAAUCUAAUUAGAAACCCUCCUAAGUGGCUGGAAUGUGGAUAGUUUAGGAUUAGGAUAAGGUAAGAUAGGAUAAGGUUUGUUUGGAUAAGAUAAGCUAAGAUAAGGUUAUGGAUGAGGUUUUGGAUAAGAUCCUUCUCUUGAGCUGAUUCUUUGACUUUACUCUUCUUCUUCACAUAGGAAACCUUGCUUGAGUAGGAAACUUCAUUCGUCUAGGAAUCCAUCUUCAAUUAGGACUCCUACAUUGAUUAGGAAUCCUUCUUCAUUUAGGAAUUCUUCGUUUAAGCCCUUUCCUACUUCAACUAGGAAACUUUGUAUCUUCAAUUCUUCAACUUUGAAACGCCUUUCUAGCUUCAUCAAUCCCUCAAAUUCGUCCAUCCUUUGUGCCUCAUGUGCAUGAACUCCAUUUUAGCCCAAUUUUGCUCCAAAAUGCUCCAAAUUGCAUCCUUUUGCUCACUUUGUCUCUAAAACCUGAAAACACAUAAAAAUAGCUUAAAAGACUAACUUAACUAAGAAAACACAACAUAAAUGCAUAAGAACUAGCUAACUAAGGCGCAUAAAUAUGCUCCUAUCACCUAGGUCCUCUUUAUUUGCAUGGGUUGCCUCCCAAGAAGCGCUUGCUUUAACGUCUUCCAGCCGGACGAUGCCUCCCAUCAAGCUUGAAUAGGGCCCAUGGGUUGGAGAGCUACUUCCUCCACGGUCUGCUCCUCAAAAGUUGUGAAAUAUGGCUUCAAACGAUGUCCAUUGACUUUGAAUUCUUGUUGCGUCUUCAGACUUUGAAUUUGAACUGCACCAUGCGGAAAAACAUUAGUAACAAUAAAAGGUUCAAUCCACUUAGAACGCAACUUACCUGGAAAUAACCGAAGGCGAGAAUUGAAAAGUAGCACUUUCUGCCCGAUAGAGAACGUCUUGCUCCGAAUCAUCCUAUCAUGGAAUGCCUUCGUUUUCUCCUUGUAAAUACGAGAGUUCUCGUAAGCUUCAUUCCUAACUUCCUCAAGCUCGUUCAAUUGAAGUUUCCUAUGAAGACCUGCGGCAUCAAUGUCCAUAUUAAAGGUUUUGAUGGCCCAAUGUGCUUUAUGCUUUAAUUCAACCGGAAGAUGGCAUGGUUUCCCAUAAAUUAGCCGAAAUGGGGACAUUCCGAUUGGUGUUUUGUAGGCCGUACGAUACGCCCAUAAUGCAUCAUUUACGCGCAAGCUCCAAUCUUUCCGGUUUGGCCCUACGGUCUUCUCCAAAAUCUGCUUGAUUUCUCUAUUUGAAACAUCCGCUUGCCCACUUGUUUGAGGAUGAUAAGGUGUUGCCACCUUAUGCGUGACACCAUAUUUCUUGAGUAGUGCUUCAAUGGUGCGGUUGCAGAAAUGGGAGCCCCCAUCACUUAUAAGUACUCGCGGCAUUCCAAACCUUGCAAAAAUGUUAGUCUUAACAAAAUCUGCAACCACUUUAGAAUCAUUAGUACGGGUGGCUCUUGCUUCCACCCAUUUUGAAACAUAAUCAACCGCAAGUAGAAUAUAAACAAAACCAUGAGAUGAAGGAAAAGGACCCAUGAAAUCUAUGCCCUAAACAUAAAAAAUUUCAACAUUAAAUAUGGGAUUUUGAGGCAUUUGGUCAUUUGGUCCUAUAUUUCCAGUUCGUUGACAACGGUCACAUGCUAUGCAAAAAGUUCUAGCAUCCUUAAAAAUAGUAGGCCAAUAAAAACCACAUUCAAGUACUUUUCGUGCAGUCCUUUGAGUGCCAAAGUGACCUCCACAUGCAUAAGUGUGACAAAAGUUUAAAAUAGACUGUAUUUCGGAAUCAUGCACACACCUACGAAUGAUUUGAUCAGAGCAAUAUUUCCAUAAAUAAGGGUCAUCCCACACAUAAUUUCGUGCAUCAUACUUAAGUUUAUCACGUUGGUUUUUAUUGAACUCAUUUGGAAUAACUUUAGAUGCUAAAUAAUUAACUAAAUCCGCAUACCAUGGCAUACUAACCUCAAUGGACAUCAAUUGUUCAUCCGGGAAUGUCUCUGGAAUAGGAACGACGUCUUCUUCAUGCACCAAACGGCUUAAGUGAUCAGCCACAACGUUCUCACUUCCUUUCUUGUCUCGGAUUUCGAUAUCAAACUCUUGGAGGAGAAGCAUCCAUCGAAUAAGCCUUGGUUUAGCCUCCUUCUUCGUGAGCAAGUACUUCAACGCUGCAUGAUCAGUGUAAAUUAUUACUUUAGUACCAAGUAAAUAAGAAUGAAACUUAUCUAAAGCAAAAACAACAGCAAGAAGUUCUUUUUCCGUUGUGGAAUAGUUCAAUUGAGCAUCGUUCAAGGUCCGAGAGGCACAAUAUAUGACGUGUGGCUGUUUGUCCUUCCUUUGUCCCAAAACAGCGCCUAGAGCAUAAUCGGACGCAUUUCACAUAAGCUCGAAGGGAAUGCUCCAAUCUGGUGGCCGAAUGAUGGGGGCCGAAGUUAGCAUCUCUUUGAGGUGUUUGAACGCCUUUUCACAUUCCUCGUUGAAGUCGAAGGUCACAUCCUUUUGGAGAAGUCGACAUAGGGGUGUGGAAAUCUUUGAAAAAUCCUUGAUGAAUCGCCUAUAAAAUCCUGCGUGGCCCAGAAAAGAACGAACCUCUCUAACCGAAGUUGGAGAGGGUAAGUAGCGUACAAGAUCUAUUUUCGAUUUAUCAACCUCAAUUCCCCUUUCAGAAACGAUAUGCCCUAAAACGAUGCCUUGUUUUACCAUAAAGUGACACUUUUCCCAAUUUAAAACAAGGUUCGUUUCCACGCAUCGUUUUAAGAUUAAUGUGAGAUUUUCCAAGCAACCAUCAAACGAAUCACCAAAGACACUAAAAUCAUCCAUGAAUACCUCAAUAAUCUUCUCAAUAAAAUCUGAAAAGAUACUUACCAUGCAUCUUUGGAACGUGGCCGGUGCAUUGCAUAAUCCGAAUGGCAUGCGCCGGUAAGCAAAAGUACCAAAUGGGCACGUGAAGGUGGUCUUUUCUUGGUCGUCCGGAGCUAUGACAAUUUGAUUGUAUCCCGAAUAACCGUCAAGAAAACAAUAAAGAAUGACCGGCUAACCUUUCUAGCAUUUGAUCGAUGAAUGGUAGUGGAAAGUGGUCCUUCCUUGUGGUGUUGUUGAGCUUCCUAUAGUCAAUGCACACUCUCCAACCUGUUUGAAUACGGGUUAGCACAAGCUCAUCCUCGGCAUUCUUCACCACAGUAACUCCGGACUUCUUUGGGACAACUUGAACCGGUGAGACCCAACGGCUAUCCGAAAUUGGAUAAAUCACUCCACAAUCGAGAAGCUUUAUAAUCUCCUUUUUCACAACCUCCAUCAUUGGAGGGUUGAGUCGGCGUUGAGCCUCUCGAGUUGGUUUAGCCCCCUCCUCUAGAAAUAUGCGAUGCAUGCAUGUUGUAGGGCUAAUCCCCUUAAUAUCGGCCAAUGUCCAUCCAAUGGCUGUUUUGUGCUCUUUCAACACCCGAAUCAACUUUUCCUCCUCUAAUGCCGUGAGUGAUGAGGAGACAAUGACGGGCAACGUCUCUUCAUCUCCCAUAAAUACAUACUUUAAAUGAUCCGGUAAUGGUUUAAGCUCAAGAACGGGGGCCUGAAUCACAGAAGGUAACAACGUAUUAGUGGAAACGGGAAUUGGAAUUGGGUUAGAAGGCUUACCACGAUGUUGUGACAGUGAUUCAAAGGCAGCCACAAGCUCGGCAUGCUCUUCCUUAGGUACGGCCAGAUUGGGCUUCAUGCCAAGUCCUUGUGCAAUUGUCGUUUCAAGGGGAUCGUCUUCCAACAUAUCAAGAUAAUCCUGCGCCAAUUCAUCCAAUAUAUCAAUAGAAAAGCAAGAAUGAUCAUCUUUAGGAAAUUUCAUAGCUUCAGAAAUGUUAAAAUUAAUAAUCUCCCCAUCAAAUUCCAUUGUUAACGUCCCCUUGAACACAUCGAUCUUGGUGCGUGCUGUUUUCAUGAAGGGCCUCCCAAGUAAAAUCGGCAAUGGGGUGACAUUUGGUGAGUCCUCCAUCUCUAAAAUGUAGAAAUCCGCUGGGAAUAUCCAGUUAUCCACCUGCACCAACACAUAUUCCAAAACUCCUUUCGGAUAUGCAUUAGAACGAUCGGCUAAUUGAAUUAUAACACCAUCGUUUUUAAGCUCUCCUAAGUUCAUAGAUGCAUAAAUCGAGUAUGGCAUGACAUUAAUUGAAGCUCUUAGAUCUAACAUAGCAUGUUCAAAUUUAGUAUUGCCUAUAACACAUGGAAUUGUAAAACUCCCUGGAUCUUUGCAUUUAGGGGGUAAUUUUCUUUGCAAGACAGCGGAAACAUUCUCACUUACCUGGACAACCUCUUUGUUUGAAAUUCUCCUUCUUGUUGUACAUAGUUCCUUCAAAAACUUGGCGUACCUAGGUACUUGCUUAAUUGCGUCAAGAAGAGGUAUAUUGACUUACACUUUCCGAAAUGUCUCCAAAAUAUCUUUCUCGGUCUCCUCCUUCUUGGAUUGCCGCAACCUGCUAGGAAAAGGCACGUUUAGUGGAAUAGAACUAGAAGAAUUCAGUUUUGAGCUUACCUUGGCCGAAUUAUAUGGUUUGGAAUUGCAAGGAGGUUGCGGCAAAGGGUGUUCCAUCCUUGCCGUAGGUGAGGUUUGUGUGUCCUUCUCAAACUGCAACUUUUCAUCCUCUUCAUGACUUGAUUUGGAUGCUUGGGGUUCACUUCCAACUUGUUUACCACUCCUCAAUGUUAUUGCUUUGGCGGUUUCGAAUCCCCCUUUUGGAUUUGCAACGGUUGAACUAGGGAGUCUUCCUUGGUCUCGAAACUGUCCAACAAACUCUGCAAUCUGCCCAAUUUGCUUUUCCAAGUGAUCCACCCUCUUAUCUUGGCUUUGCAAUGCUUUGGUUUGAUUCUCUUGCCCCUGAGACAAAGUGUUGAGUAAUUUAAGAAUUGUAUCAUUAUCCAAGGACGUACCUGAAUUUGUUGGGGCAUAUUGUAUUUGAGUUUGAUUUGGUGUGAAUGGCUUUUGAUAGAAACCCGGGGGUUGUUGCCGAAAUGUGCCUUGUUGUUGGCCUUGUUGGGGUUCUCGCCAUUUGAAAUUUGGAUGAUCACGCCAACCAGGAUUGUAGGUGUUAGAAAAGGGAUCAUUCCUUUGUUGGUAUUGCUGUCCAAAGCCCACGGCAUUGAGGGUCUCCCACCCUCCGUUCUCAAUCAAUUGUGGGCACUUGUCCGUAGGAUGUCCUUGCAUGGAACAUACGCCACACGCACUUACAUUUUGAACUUUUGGCCCUUCCACAACCAGAGAAAGCAACGUAGUAAGGUUAGCCAUUUGAUUUUGAAGUUCGGUUAUGGCACUUACCUCAUUCACUUGGUGUUGCCGUGGAGUGCCUCUUUGUCCAACACCUUCGUAUUGUUGAGCGUUCAACGCUCGAUUAGCAAUCAAAGUCUUUGCUGCCGUGGGAGUCUUGUCCACCAAAGCUCCUCCCGCCGAAGCAUCUAGUAUUUGUCGUUCGAUUGGUAGAAGUCCCUCGUAGAAGUAUUGUAGAAGAAGCUCCUCCUUCAUUUGAUGUUGUGGACAAGAAGCGACAAGAGAUUUAAAACGUUCAUAAUAUGUAGGAAAAGACUCACCUUCUUCUUGUUGAAUUCCACUUAUCCUUUUUCGUAGGAGGAUGACUCAAGAAGUUGGAAAAAACUUCUCCAAGAAAGCUCGUUUCAUGCUCUCCCAAGAUGUGACCGUUCCGGGAGCUAAUUCAUACAACCAAUCUUUCGCCUUUUCCAUGAGAGAGAAGGGAAAGGCCUUCAUCUUCAAUAUACUCCCGUCGACAUUGAUUGGAGUCAUGCUUGAACACACCACCUCGAACUCUUUCAAGUGCUUGUUAGGAUCCUCCAUGGACAACCCAUGGUACUUCGUAAUAUGGUGUAGCAAACUUGACUUUAACUCGAAUUCCUCAGUCUUUCCUUGGGCAGCCGCAAGAUAUUGAAUACAUAGAGGUGCGGCAUUGUCCAAUCCCGAAGCCGAGAGCUCCUUGAUUGUACGAUUGUCUUGUGCCAUGACUGUCUCAACUUCACCCACUUGUGUCGUGGGUUCCUCUUCCUCAAUCUCAACUUCGGCUUCUGAAUUUGAACUUGAUUCACUAGGUUCUGGAUUCUUUCUCUUUCGUCUCAACUCUCGUUCAAAAUCGUCGUCAAAGUCCAAGAUGUGUUCACGGACCGGAUGAGAGCUCCGAGUCAUAAACGAGUACCUAAAAACAAGAAACAAAAACAAAGUAAAAACCUGGACUCCAUUAAAACAAAUUGAAAUAAAACAAUGCAAGGGAUUAGCAACUUUGCAAAUCCCCGGCAACGGCGCCAAAAUUUGAUGUGAAAAUUAUGUUGACACACAAAUUAAACCCUAUUGAUGACAAUUGUAGUAAUGAUGCAAGUAGGGAUCGUUCUAAACUGGGGAUUAACUAGGGCUGCUAAUCAACACAAAUAAGACUAAAAAACACUAAACUAGACUCUAUAGACUCAAAACUAACUUAAAACACUAAAAACAGCAAGAAACAAUAAAAAAGACUCAAUUCUAGACCUAGCAAGUGAUUUGGACGAAAAUAGAACUUCAAAGACUCAAAAGACUUAAAGAAAACACGUUUUGACUCUAAAAACAAGAUUUAAAAGCAAAGGGGUUGAUUUGGACGAAUUUAACUUUUAAAACAAAAACUUUGAAAACAAACUUGACAAAAACGAUUGUAGAUUAAGAUGGUGAAAGGCUAGUUAGAAGGUUCCUUCUCCACACAUGAAACAUAUGCAUACGACUCGAUUUCCAGUUACUCUUUCAACAAACCAUGAAUGACAAUGCCCCAAAUUAACUAGAUUGCACCAAUUAAUUCUCAGAUUUCCCUAGAUUCAUUGAAUUGAAUGGAAUACGCAUUACAACCAAAUUAUUCUUAUCAAGGACCCUAACUAUGGAAUACGCAUGAUAGAGACACAUAUCAAAGAUCAUUAAGUUCAAUGGAAAUCAUAAGCAUUGACGAGGCAUUCAUAACUAUGGAAUACGCAUGUUACUCUUGCCAAGGAUUUACUUAACACAAUCGUGACUAGCGACUUUUACUACUUAUGAAUAUAAGUUAAUAACGAUUAGGUGAAAUUCCCUUAUACUCUAGCAUCAAAUUCAUGCAUGCAAACUAAGUAUGCAUCCUUAAUUAACAUACAUAAACAUGUUAUCAAUCAAAUAGAUAAGUAAACCACAUUCACGAUUCAUGAAAUCAUAACUGGAGGUAAUCAAGUCAUAUAACAUAUGAUCAUGGCUUUGAAUUCCCCUCUAACUAUAAAGAAAUUAGUUCCUCAUGUUCGCAAAUAAACAAAGAUAAAUAAAUCUAAACAUUAACAUAAAGAUAGAAAACACCUAGAAUCGCUCCAACAAUCCAAGCUCCUUGAAUGGCAUGCACAGCUCCAGAUUCCUUCCUUCUUCUCCUUGCAAACUCACUGCACAAUGAGGGGUUUUGGGUGAAUGAUGUAGUGAAAAUAUGGUAGAGGAUGGUGAGUGAAAAGGUGCGGCAAGGGCUUGUAUUUAUAGGCUGAAAAUCCCCACUCCUAGAUAGCAAAGGAUAAGGUUUUAAAGGCCUAAUCUGCAUAGGAUAAUAACAUACAAUCCUAUAAGGAAAACAGGUCAAAAACCCAAAAGGAAUGGGAAAUAAUGUGCGGCACAAAGAUAGGAGAUGAUAAGGCUUCUAGAAAUCUGAAAUUCCAAGGGGAAUAAGGUAUAUGGUGCGGCACAUAGCUAGGGUUCUAGAAAGACAAUGCUAGGCAUUUUUAGGCUUCUAGAAAGGUUCCUAGGCACCAUCUUUGUAGGAUAAGAUUAGGUCUUCUAGAAAUCCCAUUUUAAACAUCCUAAUCUAGUUAGAAACCCUCCUAAGUGGCUGAAAUGUGGAUAGUUUAGGAUUAGGAUAAGAUAGGAUAGGACAAGGUUUGUUUGGAUAAGAUAAGCUAAGAUAAGGUUAUGGAUAAUGUUUUGGAUAAGAUCCUUCUCUUGAGCUGAUUCUUUGACUUUAACUCUUCUUCUUCAUGUAGGAAUACUUGCUUGAGUAGGAAACUUCAUUCGUCUAGGAAUCCAUCUUCAAUUAGGACUCGUACAUUGAUUAGGAAUCCUUCUUCAUUUAGGAAUCCUUCACUUUAAGCCCUUUCCUACUUCAACUAGGAAACUUUGUAUCUUCAAUUCUUCAACUUUGAAACACAUUCCUAGCUUCAUCAGUCCUUCAAAUUCGUCCAUCCUUUGUGCUUCAUGUGCAUGAACUUCAUUCUAGCCCAAUUUUGCUCCAAAAUGCUCCAAAUUGCAUCCUUUUGCUCACUUUGUCUCUAAAACCUAAAAACACAUGAAAAUAGCUUAAAAAGACUAACUUAACUAAGAAAACACUGUUAAAUGCAUAAGAACUAACUAACUAAGGCGCAUAAAUAUGCUCCUAUCACAUCACUAGUUAAUUCUCAAGUUUUCCUUGUGUUAUUGGAUUGGAUGACAUCAUUGGACAACCCAAAGCAUUCUUCAAAAGUUCCCUACAUGACAUCAUAAUAAAGAUACAAUUAAAGAUCAUUACGUUCAAUGAAAACUAUAAGCAUUGACAAAGCAUUUGCAACUAUGACAUCAUGGCACUCAUGCUAGGAAUUGGACUUAACGCGAUCGUGACUAGCGACCUUCACUACAUAUGAAUAUAAGUGUGUGACGAUUAUGUGAAACAACCUUAUAUUCUAGCAUCAUAUUCAUGCAAGCCA